GUGUCAGCCGCCGCGGUAAUACGUAGGGUGCAAGCGUUAAUCGGAAUUACUGGGCGUAAAGCGUGCGCAGGCGGUUCGGAAAGAAAGAUGUGAAAUCCCAGGGCUCAACCUUGGAACUGCAUUUUUAACUCCCGAACUAGAGUGUGUCAGAGGGGGGUGGAAUUCCACGUGUAGCAGUGAAAUGCGUAGAUAUGUGGAGGAACACCGAUGGCGAAGGCAGCCCCCUGGGAUAACACUGACGCUCAUGCACGAAAGCGUGGGGAGCAAACAGGAUUAGAUACCCUGGUAGUCCACGCCCUAAACGAUGUCAACUAGCUGUUGGGUUCUUCGGAGCUUGGUAGCGCAGCUAACGCGUGAAGUUGACCGCCUGGGGAGUACGGUCGCAAGAUUAAAACUUAAAGGAAUUGACGG
rnacentral:rRNA from 1 species